GAUAAACGCUGGCGGCGCACAUAAGACAUGCAAGUUGAACGGACUUAAUCGAAAUAUUUAUAUUUUGAAGCGGUUAGUGGCGGACUGGUGAGUAACGCGUAAGGAACCUGCCUAUUAGAGGGGAAUAACAGUGAGAAAUCAUUGCUAAUACCGCAUAUGCCAUAGAUAUCACAUGAUAACAGUGGGAAAGGAGCAAUCCGCUAAUAGAUGGCCUUGCGUCUGAUUAGAUAGUUGGUGGGGUAACGGCCUACCAAGUCGACGAUCAGUAGCCGGACUGAGAGGUUGAACGGACACAUUGGGACUGAGAUACGGCCCAGACUCCUACGGGAGGCAGCAGUCGGGAAUAUUGAGCAAUGGAGGAAACUCUGACGCAGGGACGCCGCGUAUAGGAAGAAGGUUUUCGGAUUGUAAACUAUUGUCGUUAGGGAAGAGAAAGGACAGUACCUAAGGAGGAAGCUCCGGCUAACUACGUG
rnacentral:rRNA from 1 species